rnacentral:rRNA from 1 species
UACGGGGGGGGCAAGCGUUGUUCGGAAUUACUGGGCGUAAAGGGCUCGUAGGUGGCCAACUAAGUCAGACGUGAAAUCCCUCGGCUUAACCGGGGAACUGCGUCUGAUACUGGAUGGCUCGAGUUCGGGAGAGGGAUGCGGAAUUCCAGGUGUAGCGGUGAAAUGCGUAGAUAUCUGGAGGAACACCGGUGGCGAAGGCGGCAUCCUGGACCGACACUGACACUGAGGAGCGAAAGCGUGGGGAGCAAACAGG